GUCCACGCUGUAAACGAUGAGCACUAGGUGUGGGGGGGUUCAGUCCCUUCCGUGCCGCAGCUAACGCAUUAAGUGCUCCGCCUGGGGAGUACGGCCGCAAGGUUGAAACUCAAAGGAAUUGACGGGGGCCCGCACAAGCGGUGGAGCAUGUGGUUCAAUUCGAUGCAGAGCGAAGAACCUUACCUGGGCUUGACAUGCAGGAAGUAGAAACCGUAAACGGCGACGACCUGUUAAGUCAGGAACCUGCACAGGUGGUGCAUGGCUGUCGU
rnacentral:rRNA from 1 species